CGUGUAGGCUGCUUGGAAAGUCGGAUGUGAAAGCCCUGGGCUUAACCUAGGAAGAGCAUUCGAAACUUCCAAGCUUGAGUUUCGGAGAGGAAGGCGGAAUUCUCGGUGUAGAGGUGAAAUUCGUAGAUAUCGAGAGGAACAUCGGUGGCGAAGGCGGCCUUCUGGACGAUGACUGACGCUGAGACGCGAAAGCGUGGGGAGCAAACAG
rnacentral:rRNA from 1 species